AACGAACGCUGGCGGCAUGCCUAACACAUGCAAGUCGAACGAGACCUUCGGGUCUAGUGGCGCACGGGUGCGUAACGCGUGGGAACCUGCCCUUAGGUUCGGAAUAACUCCCCGAAAGGGGUGCUAAUACCGGAUAAUGUCUUCGGACCAAAGAUUUAUCGCCUUUGGAUGGGCCCGCGUUGGAUUAGCUAGGUGGUAGGGUAAAAGCCUACCAAGGCGACGAUCCAUAGCUGGUCUGAGAGGAUGAUCAGCCACACUGGGACUGAGACACGGCCCAGACUCCUACGGGAAGCAGCAGUGGGGAAUAGUGGACAAUGGGCGAAAGCCUGAUCCAGCAAUGCCGCGUGAGUGAUGAAGGCCUGAGGGUUGUAAAGCUCUUUUACCCGGGAUGAUAAUGACAGUACCGGGAGAAUAAGCUCCGGCUAACUCCGUG
rnacentral:rRNA from 1 species